rnacentral:tRNA from 1 species
GUUAAUGUAGCUUAACUAAAAGCGUGGCACUGAAGAUGCCAAGAUGGGUUGUAAAAAAUCCCAAUAACA